rnacentral:lncRNA from 1 species
UUUAGUAGAGCAUUAGGGUAUUAGAAUAUUUAAAUUUCAUACUAACAGUAAAGAGGCUCUGGAAUAUAAGGCGGCGUACAUAAGAGAUCUACGGACAACGAAUUGUCUUCAUUGACAAUCAUGAUUAGCAGCUCUAUGUUUCGAGCAAAGGAAUUGGAGUACUUGUGAAAGCUCCAGGUAUUAGUAUGUUUGUAUGCCUUUUAGUUUCUGUUUGUGAUAAUAUUAGCAUGUAAUGUAAAUUUUAAUAAUUAAGCAAUAAUGGAAGGCAGCAUAAAUUAAUUAUGAAAAUAAUUUGCUACUGUUAAUUAGAGGAAUUAAUAGUACGUAUUAUGUGGAAAAUCAUUGUAGAUGCACUUUCAGUUUUACUUCUUUCUAGUAGGAGAUAAUGAUUUAUUUAUAAUUAGACAAUAAUGAGUGGAUACAUGUUUAUAGAAACAGUGAUUGAAUAUAGUGGCCACUUUUCAUGUGAGUUAGUAAACCAAGUUUUCAAGGUUUCGAAACUGUUGGGUCUAUAAGCCACAAUAUCAUUUUUGUUCUAUUUCAUACUCUCUGAUUAUUUUUUUGGGCCUACCUUUAACUAUAAUAUUUAAUAGGUAAAAUAGUAAGAGCUUAAAAGUUAGUGAUAUUGAGAGUUGAUCGCAAUUAUUAUUAUUGACAUUGUUAAAUAAUAUUUUGGAUAGAUUGAGGUCAUUGGAGGCCGUUUGGUCAGUGUUCUAGACGUUGCAAGGUCUGAUCCCAAUUAUCAUUAUUGACAUUGUUAAAUAAUAUUUUGGAUAGAUUGAGGUCAUUGGAGGCCGUUUGGUCAGUGUUCUAGACGUUGCAAGGUUGUGAGUGUUCCAUUAGCAAGGUAAGUGUGACUUUAAGCUUUGGUACUUGUUUUUCCAAAAUCCGUUUUGAAAGUGUGUUUUCUCUGCCUGGUCCAUGUGUUGGGACAAGCGUGCGCUUGGCAGAGUCGGUGGUCUUAGACUAGCCGAAUUUAUAUUAUUUUACAAACAAAAAAAAUAUAUUAUUUUAUAAGUUGUUUGAUGUUGUGAUACGGCUGUGCGCCAUAAUAUUGAGUUUGAUACGGCUGUGCGCCAUGAUGUUGAGUUUGAUAUGGCUAUGCGCCAUGAUAUUGAGUUUGAUACGGCUGUGCGCCAAAAUGUUGAGUUUGAUACGGCUGUGCGCCAUGGUGUUGGGGCAUUGUGUAUGUCUUUGUACAUUACCCGAGCAUUGUGUAUGCUCUCUUAUAUAUUUGAGGCAUUGUGGUGCCGUUGUGGACUCCUGGUGUGUUGGUAAGUUCCUUUCACUGCAAUUAUGAUAAGUCCUUAGUGAGUAUUGUUGUUGGUUAAUUCUUAAGGACUCUGUUGUUACACAUAUAUUGAGUUAUUGUAUAAUUAUUAUAUUUACUACAUCAAUCGUGUUGUGGGGUAUUUGUAUUAUCUAACACUUGUUCAAGAGGUAUUUAAAGUGGCGGAUCGAUGAUCUUACUGGGUUAUAUUUACAUAUAACUCACUCCUUACCUGCAUCUCUAUGCAGAUACCGUUGCGGGAGAUAGAGUUAGAGGUUGACGAGU